rnacentral:rRNA from 1 species
UGGCGGGGUAAUGGCCCACCAAGGCGACGAUCAGUAGCUGGUCUGAGAGGAUGAUCAGCCACAUUGGGACUGAGACACGGCCCAAACUCCUACGGGAGGCAGCAGUGGGGAAUAUUGGACAAUGGGUGCAAGCCUGAUCCAGCCAUGCCGCGUGAGUGAUGAAGGCCUUAGGGUUGUAAAGCUCUUUCGCGCGCGACGAUAAUGACGGUAGCGCGAGAAGAAGCCCCGGCUAACUUCGUGCCAGCAGCCGCGGUAAUACGAAGGGGGCUAGCGUUGUUCGGAAUCACUGGGCGUAAAGCGCAUGCAGGCGGAUUGUUAAGUCGGGGGUGAAAUCCCGAGGCUCAACCUCGGAACUGCCUUCGAUACUGGCAAUCUUGAGUCCGGGAGAGGUGAGUGGAACUGCGAGUGUAGAGGUGAAAUUCGUAGAUAUUCGCAAGAACACCAGUGGCGAAGGCGGCUCACUGGCCCGGUACCGACGCUCAGGUGCGAAAGCGUGGGGAGCAAACGGGAUUAGAUACCCUGGUAGUCCACGCCGUAAACGAUGAAUGCUAGCCGUCGGUCAGCAUGCUGUUCGGUGGCGCAGCUAACGCAAUAAGCAUUCCGCCUGGGGAGUACGAUCGCAAGGUUA